AGAGCCUGAUGUGGGGCUUGAACUCAGGAACCGUGAGAUCAUGACCUGAGCCAAAGUCAGACACUUAACCGACUGAGCCACCCUGCCACUUACUCAUUUUAAAGUGUCUACCAGAGAGAUAGGAAUUCAGGGGUUUUAUCUGGGGAUGGAAGUGUUAGUGGAUAAUAUUUUUGCAAUCUCAUCUUAACUUUCUGGUGAUAGAGCAGACGGACAUUGUUCUUGGUGCUCUCCCUCUACUCAGGUACCAUUGGAGGGAAUGCUCUGUCCACCCUGGGCUGUAACUAGGCUAUGCAGGCACCCCACACUCUGCUCACCCCAUUAGCACCUAAGGUGCAAUAGUGCCAGGCAAGCAUUCUCACCCCCACCCUCCAUGUGCAGUAUUCCAGCCAAAACUGGGCCAGACUAAAGCCAUUAGCCUUGUUCACCCCAAGUAGAGACUGAGUUGUAACUGGGGUGAUCUAGCAGCUUGAACUCUGCUCACCCUACACAGUGACUGAGCCACCCCCAAGUCAAGUGAGUGUUUCCAACACUGACGUCCCUGUGCAGCAGCCACAGCCCUAUCAGUGGAAAGCCAGUGGACACAUGCAGCCUAUGUAAAUGAUGCCUAUAAGAGUGACUAGCUCUGAUCGCCAGAUGGCUAUUACAUCUCUGAUCCACAUGGGACAGUUUAUACACAUGACCAGUCAUCAGACUGAGAUAGCCAUUUCCCUUAACAUAUAGAAAAACAGAUAUGGCAAAAUGAAGGCAAAAUGAAGAAACAGGAACAUGUUUCAAACCAAAAACAAGGUAAAUUCCUGGAGAAAAGACAUUAAUGAUAUGGAGAUUAGCAACCUACCAGAUUAAUAAUUCAGAGCAGUGGUGAUAAAGGUGCUCACUGUUCUCUGGAGAAGAAUUGACAAAUACAGUGAGAACUUCAACAACAAGAUAGAAAAUGUUAGUACCAAACAAUUUAUAACUUAACUGAAAAAUACACUAGACAGGUCCAGCUGCAGAAUGGUUGAAAGAGAAGUAUAGACCAGCAAGCUAGAAGGCAAAGCAAUGCAAAACAGCAGCCAAAGCAGCAAAAUGAAAAAAAAAUUAAAAGAAGUGAAAAUACCCUAUGGGACAUCUCUAAAAACAUCAUGCAGAGUAACAUUUUCAUUAUAGGGGUCCCAGAAGGAGAAGAGAGGGAAAGAGUCAGAAAAAUUAUUUGAAGAAAUUAUGCCUGAGAACUUCUUUAAUCUGGGGAAGGAAAGAGACAUCUAGGUCCAGGAAUCCCAGAGAGUAACAAGAUGAACACACUGAGAAACAUAAUUAAAAUGGUGAAAACUAAAGAUAAAGAGAAAACCGUAAAACCAGCAAGAGAAAAGCAACACAUUAUAAUAAAGGAAACCCUGUAAGACCAUAAGGAGAUUUUUCACUAGAAACUUUACAGGCCAGAAGGGACUAGUUUUGACAUAUCCAAAGUGCUGAAAGGGAAAAAUUGCCAACCAAGAAUGUUUUUAACUCUGUAAGGUUAUCACUUACAAUUGAAAGAUAGAGUAAGACCUUUCCAAAUAUGCAAAAGCCAAAGGAUUUCAUCACUACUAACCUGGUCUUACAAGAAAUGUUAAAGAAACUUCUCUGAGGUAAAAAGAGAAGGCACUAAUUACUAAUAAAAUAUACAAAAGUAAGAAUCUCUCCAGAAAAAGUAAAUAAAUAAUAAUGGUUGUGGAUCAAACACAAAGUAAGUGCAAAGGUUAAAAGACAAAGUAGUAAAAUUAAUUAAAGAUACAUUAACUAGUUAAGGGAUACCUAAAAUAAAAAGAUGUAAAAUGUGUCAACAGAAAUUUUAAAUGCUGGUAGUAAAGUAUAAAGCUCUGGAAUGUGCUCAACAUUAAUUUACUCUCAAAAGUGACUUGCAUACAUAAGCUAUUAUAUGGAAGGAGUGCCUGGGUGGCUCAGUAGGUUAAACUUUGGACUCCUGAUUUCAGCUCAGGUCAUGAUCUCAUGCUCGUGAGAUUGAGCCCUGCAUUGGGCUCCAUGCUGGGUGUGGAGCCUGCUUAAGAUUCUUUCUAUCUCUCCUUCUUACUCUACCCCUGUGCCUUCCCCUCUGUAAAAAAAAAAAAAAAAAAAAAAGAUAUGGGAAUCUCAUGGUAAACACAAAGAAAAAAACUUAAAGAUACACAAAUGAAAAAAGAGAAUGUAAAUAUUAACACUAAUGAAAGUGAUCAAUUUAACAAUUCUCAAAGAGAAGAAAGGAACAGAGAGGAACUGCAAAAUCAGAAAACAAUUAGCAUAAUGGCAAUAAGCACAUACUUGUUACUAAUUACUUUAUAUGUAAAUGGACUAAAUUUUCCAUUCAAAAGACAUAGUGUGGCUGAACAGAUAAAAGCACAUGACUCUUCUGAGUGCUGCUUAUAAGAAACUCACUUCUCUAAAGAUAUACAGACUGAAAGUGAAAGGAUGAAAAACAUAUGCCAUGCAAACUGAUAUGAAAAAAUGUUAGUGUAGUAGUACUCUAAUAUCAAAACUAAGCCACAAAACAAGUCUCCAUACAAUUAAGAUUUUAAUCAUAACAAACACCUUUUCUGGCCACAAUGGUAUGAAACUAGAAAUCAAUUACAUGAAGAAAACUGGGAAAAACACAAACAUGUGGCAACAAAACAGCAUGCUACUAAACAACCAGAGGGUCACUGAAAAAUUCAAAGACCAAAUAAAAAAAUACCUUGAGACAAAUGAAAUGGAAACUCAGCAUUCCAAAAUAUUUGGAACAAAGCAAAAAUAGUUCUAAGAGGGAUGUUCUUGGUAAUACAGGUCUACCUCAUUAAAAAAGAGAAAUUUCAAACAUUCUGCAUUUAAAGGAACUAGAUAAGAACAACAUCCAAAGUUAAUGGAAAGAAAUAAUAAAGAGCUGAAAUAAAUCAGAGACUUUAAAAAAAUAGAAAAGAUCAAUGACCUUAAGAGCAUGUUCUUUGAAAAAUUAAACAAAAAUCAACAAACUUUAGCCAGACUCAUCAAGAAAAAAAAAAAAGAGCCCAAAUAGGCAAAAUUAGAAAUGGGAGAAAUUACAACCUAUGCCACAGAUAUACAAAGGAUGACAAGAGAAUAUUAUAAACAAUAGGCAAAAUAUGACAAGAGA